rnacentral:lncRNA from 1 species
AAAACUUGAAGUUUAAGGAAAAGGACAUUUUAUCAUAUGUGGUGGGAUUGGAAUGUAAUUAAAAAAUUUUGGGAAAUGAUAUACAAUGAAUUGAAGAAAAUGUUCCAUUUAACAUUUGUUUAAAAAACCCAAGGCAUUUUUGUUGGGGAUUGUAGGGAAAGACCUGCCAAAAAAGCUGAAAAACAUCUUCAUGUUAGCGACAACGGCCGUGAGAGUUCUGGUAGCACAAGGAUGGAAGACUGAAGAAACCCCAACUAAAGAAUCAAGGGAAGAAAAAUUGACGGACUAUGCAGAACUGGCAAAACCGACAUAUAAGCUACGGGACAAGGAUAACUGUGACUUUAAAGAUGAAUGAGAACCCUUUACAAAGUAUCUGAAGAUGCAACAAAGUGAACUGGACUCCUUGGCAGGUUUUGAAUAAACAUUCACAAACUUUUUAUUGAUAAUAAUCAGCUAAAUAGUCUGAGAAUCUAUACAACUUUGUAACAUGCAGAAAACAGCAGUCUCAGAGAAACCAAAGACUGGAACUGAGGGAAGUCGGGG